rnacentral:lncRNA from 1 species
AUCCUCUGUCUUCUACAUAGCUUGCCUCAUCUUCGACAUCAUUGGGUUCCUCUUCGGAUCCAUCUCUAUCUUCUGACGAAUGAUUGGCCAGCACAAGUGCAUGGAUUUUCAGCCCAUCUCCAAUUCUAUCUCAUGGCAUCGGGACCCAUCCUAUGGGAAAAAUGGGAGGUGAAGCAAAAAAAAAAUAGAUACUGCCUUUGGACACAU